GAUGAAGAACGCAGCGAAAUGCGAUAAGUAAUGUGAAUUGCAGAAUUCAGUGAAUAAUCGAAUCUUUGAACGCAUCUUGCGCUCCUUGGUAUUCUGAGGAGCAUGCCUGUUUGAGUGUCAUUAAAUUCUCAACUACACUGACUUUGAAUUGGUGUGGCUUGGAUUUGGGGGGAAAAUUGUUGUGGGCUUUUUGUAUAGUCUGCUCCCCUGAAAUUGAUUAGCGGUACCUUUGUGGAACUGUCUACAGGUGUGAUAAUUAUCUACAUCUUAGACAUCUGCUGGAAUGCUGCUUUCUAAACCUUACUUGUAUUGACAAUCUUGACCUCAAAUCAGGUAGGACUACCCGCUGAACUUAAGCAUAUCAAUAAGCGGAGGA
rnacentral:misc_RNA from 1 species